rnacentral:rRNA from 1 species
CUUGACAUCCAGCGAACUUUCCAGAGAUGGAUUGGUGCCUUCGGGAACGCUGAGACAGGUGCUGCAUGGCUGUCGUCAGCUCGUGUUGUCGAAAUGUUGGGUUAAGUCCCGNAACGAGCGCAACCCUUAUCCUUUGUUGCCAGCGAUUCGGUCGGGAACUCAAAGGAGACUGCCGGUGAUAAACCGGAGGAAGGUGGGGAUGACGUCAAGUCAUCAUGGCCCUUACGAGUAGGGCUACACACGUGCUACAAUGGCGCAUACAAAGAGAAGCGACCUCGCGAGAGCAAGCGGAACCUCAUAAAGUGCGUCGUAGUCCGGAUCGGAGUCUGCAACUCGACUCCGUGAAGUCGGAAUCGCUAGUAAUCGUGGAUCAGAAUGCCACGGUGAAUACGUUCCCGGGCCUUGUACACACCGCCCGUCACACCAUGGGAGUGGGUUGCAAAAGAAGUAGGUAGCUUAACCUUCGGGAGGGCGCUUACCACUUUGUGAUUCAUGACUGGGGUGAAGUCGUAACAAGGUAAGCGUAGCGAG